AUCUGGAAAGAAGCAUCAGCAAGCAAGAAAACUAAUUUAGUCUUGGUCAUCGUUUGCCAAACAAAAUGGACAUGAUGCUCUGGAAACUUCAAAGGUCCUUACUGAAGAUGCUAGAAAGGACAACGGGACACUUAUUUACUUGUCUUAGAACUAACAGUGCUUGAAACUCCUCAUAGUGGGAGCUGUAUAGAAGGUAAACUUGCAACUACAACAGAAACACUGCAAUCCUCUUAAGGUAAGUAUAGACUAAACAAUCUCAAUAUGCUGACUAAUGGACAAAGGGUUUACCCUAACAUGGCUAUUACUCCAUGUU
rnacentral:lncRNA from 14 species